AAUGGGGGCAACCCUGAUCCAGCCAUGCCGCGUGAGUGAAGAAGGCCCUAGGGUCGUAAAGCUCUUUCGCCUGUGAUGAUAAUGACAGUAGCAGGUAAAGAAACCCCGGCUAACUCCGUGCCAGCAGCCGCGGUAAUACGGAGGGGGUUAGCGUUGUUCGGAAUUACUGGGCGUAAAGCGCGCGUAGGCGGAUUGGAAAGUUGGGGGUGAAAUCCCGGGGCUCAACCCCGGAACUGCCUUCAAAACUCCCAGUCUAGAGUUCGAGAGAGGUGAGUGGAAUUCCUAGUGUAGAGGUGAAAUUCGUAGAUAUUCGGAAGAACACCAGUGGCGAAGGCGGCUCACUGGCUCGAUACUGACGCUGAGGUGCGAAAGUGUGGGGAGCAAACAGGAUU
rnacentral:rRNA from 1 species